UACGGAGGGUGCAAGCGUUGCUCGGAUUUAUUGGGCGUAAAGGGUAGGUAGGUGGUCUCAUUUGUCUGGGGUGAAAGCCUUGAGCUUAACUCGAGAAGUGCCCCAGAAACGGUGAGACUGGAGUCCUGGAGAGGGUCGUGGAAUUCCCGGUGUAGCGGUGAAAUGCGUAGAGAUCGGGAGGAACACCAGAGGCGAAAGCGGCGACCUGGACAGGCACUGACACUCAACUACGAAAGCGUGGGGAGCAAACAGG
rnacentral:rRNA from 1 species